AUGAAAACAAGAUGCAAGCACACAGAUUCAAAGCUAGAACAACUAGUUGGGCUACUGAACACGGUCAAAUGGACAGGCACUGGUAGAACAGAUACUUCCCUGAUAGAUAAGGAAGGUAAAGACUUCACAGUGAGCUGUAGUUACCAAGACAGAGCUUCCAAUGUCUUCAGGUGGUCUGGACAGGAUCCCGAGGGGAGCCUCAUCACCUUGAGGUGAUGUUUCCAGCGGUUAAAGAGAAGAUCAGUAGAAGAUUCACAAGCAGGCUGUUUCUAGGAGGCCAGCUCUUUUCCCUGCUCACAAAGGAUUCCAAGCUCCAAGACUCAACUCUGUUCUAUGAACUGAGCA